CCUACGGGUGGCAGCAGUGGGGAAUAUUGCACAAUGGGGGAAACCCUGAUGCAGCGACGCCGCGUGAGUGAGGAAGUAUUUCGGUAUGUAAAGCUCUAUCAGCAGGGAAGAAAAUGACGGUACCUGACUAAGAAGCCCCGGCUAACUACGUGCCAGCAGCCGCGGCAAUACGUAGGGGGCAAGCGUUAUCCGGAUUUACUGGGUGUAAAGGGAGCGUAGACGGCUAAUCAAGUCAGAAGUGAAAACCCAGGGCUCAACCUUGGGAGUGCUUUUGAAACUGAGUAGCUAGGGUGCAGCAGAGGUAGGCGAAAUUCCUGGUGUGGCGGUGAAAUGCGUGGAAAUUAGAGGAACACCAGUGGCGAAGGCGGCUUACUGGACUGUAACUGACGUUGAGGCUCGAAAGCGUGGGGAGCAAACAGGAUUAGAUACCCGAGUAGUC
rnacentral:rRNA from 1 species